rnacentral:rRNA from 1 species
CCUACGGGAGGCAGCAGUGAGGAAUAUUGGUCAAUGGGAGAGAUCCUGAACCAGCCAAGCCGCGUGAGGGAAGACGGCCCUAUGGGUUGUAAACCUCUUUUGUCGGAGAACAAAACCCGGGACGUGUCCCGGACUGCGUGUAUCCGAAGAAAAAGCAUCGGCUAACUCCGUGCCAGCAGCCGCGGUAAUACGGAGGAUGCGAGCGUUAUCCGGAUUUAUUGGGUUUAAAGGGUGCGUAGGCGGUCCGUUAAGUCAGCGGUAAAAUUGCGGGGCUCAACCCCGUCGAGCCGUUGAAACUGGCAGACUUGAGUUGGCGAGAAGUACGCGGAAUGCGCGGUGUAGCGGUGAAAUGCGUAGAUAUUAGGAGGAACACCAGUGGCGAAGGCGGCUUACUGGACUGUAACUGACGUUGAGGCUCGAAAGCGUGGGGAGCAAACAGGAUUAGAUACCCCAGUAGUC